UUUAUCUGUUUAAUUUAGCCAACAUGUUACUACGUGAUAUUUAUGCCACAAAGUCGUAAAUUUUUAAUAUUAUAAUCUCUAUAUUUUUUUGUUUUCUAAUCCAUCUUGUCUACAUUAAAAACCAUAGCUUCUUCUCCUGCCAUCAAAUGUUGAUGGUUAAUCAAAACUUUAACAUUUGGAUCGCAAAGGAAAAUUUGAAACAAAAUGGAUAUGGAGGUUGAAAGGGUAGAUUCUUUCACAAAUCCCACAAGGAACUAUCAAGACAGCGGUAUGUACAAUUGGCAAAGCCUUCAAAGCAAUCUACAAGUAUUAAAUGGCGUAGCAUCAAAAUAUGAAGAACAAGUGAAGGAAGCAGAAAAAAAGAAAAGAAAAAGAGAAGUUGAAAGCUGGUAUGAAGAAGUUGGGAAAAUUAAAAAUGAAUUUCGGAAAUUGCAGAAGAUUUAUUUAUUAGCAGAAACACCACAAAAGUGUAUAUCAGAAAUUGGAGAUCAUUUGUGUGUGAUUAAUGAAGGAUUAAUAGGACUUAUUGAGCAGAGUCAAAAUUUUAGCCAAUUUUUUGUUGAUGUUAAGAAAACAAUUAUGGAUAAUAAUCAGUCAUUAGCAGUGAA